UCACUCACCUGGACGGGUAGAAUGAUUGACCAAGAAGGCUGAUGGCCUAGGUUGCUGACCUCCGUUGCACUUGGGAGGAUGUCCACCCGAGGUCCACCCAAGUGCUAGAGCUUAUGUCAUAAUUCUGCUGAUCCUGAUCUAUUAUCUAAAUCUGU